AAUGUACUCCCUCCGACCGGAAUUACUUGUCUCAAAUUUGUUUAAAUACGGAUGUAUUUAUGUGCAAAAAAGUCUAAAUACAUGUAAUAUUUUGACAAGUAAUUACGGCCGGAGGGAGUACAUU
rfam:Brachypodium distachyon strain Bd21 chromosome 2, whole genome shotgun sequence.